UUUUUGAUUAUAUGUAAAAGUUAUAAUAAAAAAAAUGUUAAAAUGGCCUUUUUGUUGCUGGUUUUGUCAAGUCUUAAGUGUUAGGAUAGCUAGGUAGUUGUUGAAUGUGGUUUCUAAUUUCCCCUUGUGCUUAUGUCUGUGGGAUGGUUGCGUGAUGUGUUGGUGUGGCUUGUGGAAGGCUGCUGAUAAAAUUAAAAUUAAUUUAUUUAAAGCCAGAGAAAUGUAAAGAAAAAAGAAGUAACGGUUGUUGUAACGGCCGUUGGGAGCAGGCCUUGUUGUUAUGACGCCAGUGGCCAGCGGAUGACGCCCACGCAUGUGUAGUGACGUGUUCUCCCAGCUUGUUAGCUUUGUUAUCUUUGGCUUGGUGGCAGCUUUCUGUCUUACUCUGACAUCAGGUUGGUAUAUGUUACUUCUUAUAUAUACAUUUAUGAUGUUUUUCUAGUAUGGUGUAUUUCCAAUUUUGAAAAAUAUAUCUAACAAAUGAUUCAAAAUUAUUUUUGAUUAAUGUGUUUUUUUUUUAAUUCUAUUAAAUAUAUUAUCUAUUUUUAAUUCCUUCUCAAAUAAUACACGCUGAUUGAUAACAAUAUUUUGUAGCCACAAAUCAACAAUUUUAAAUAAUAUUAUCAUUAUUUACAUGAGACAAGAAAAUGUGCAAUGCUUCAAAUCCUUAAAAGUUGCUUUAUGUUCUAGAAAGUAACAACUCUCUAAUGGGAUUUUCUGUUUAGAGGGUGCUUUGUGCAACAUCUUUUCAUCAUAAAAACAUAAAACUAAAAAAUAUCUCAAGGUUCCUAAUUGAACAUUUGAUUUUUAGAUAAAUCUAGAAUACUCGAGUAUUUAAUAUAUUAUUUAGAAUACAUCAAACUAUUCGAAUUAAUAAAAUAUUCAUUUUUAAUAUCAUAAAUAGAUUGUUAUUCGAAUAAAUUUCCUUUUAAUCACUCGAACAACUAAAGCAAUUCCUUCACAAUUUUCUCUGACAAUAUCAAAAUAUUUAAAAAUGUAUCAAACUUAUUUAUCAUUUAUUUUAAACCACAAUAAUUGUGAAUAAUAUAUAUUGCAAUAUAUAGCAAAUUUAUCACAUUUAUUCAUUUUUAGUAGUUUGCUAGGGAACUUGAACAGCAUAUAUUAUGAAUCAAAUUUGCAUAUAAAAUUAAACAAGUUAUUAGUAUUACAACAAUAUUAUUUGAAUUACCAAAUUUGUCAAGGGGGAGAAAAAAACCUUGUAAAGGCAUUUUCUCUUUCCUUUUAAUUAAUACUUGUAUUUAUACAGCAUUUCGGUAAACAAGAAUAUACUAAAUUUAUAUAUAAAUAUAUAUCUAUAUAUCUUGAAGAAGGAAUAAAAGUUCAUGGUGACGAGUUUCUUUUAUUUGUGCUGUAUUAUCGGCAAGCCUUCAGACUAUAAUGUCCUUCAACAGGCAACCUUUCUUUCAACUUUCAAAAGUUGCCUGUUAAAGGACGUCAUAGUCCGAAAGCUUGCCAAUUAUACAGCACAAAUAAAGGAAACUUGUCAGCUAUUCCUUUUCUUGUAAUAUCUAUAUAUCAUUCAUAAUAAUUUUAAAUGUAUAUCUAUAUAUAUAAAAAUGGAUGUUUGUUGGUCCGUCCGUCCGUCCGUUUGUCAGUGAUAAUCUUCUACAUCGCUCAACCAAUCGUGAUGAAACUUUGGGAAGAUGUUUAGUAUACUACCGGGAUGGUUUAUGGCUAAUUACUCUUUAGAAAUAACCUUUCGUUGCAUUUUUAUUUACAAUAAAACGUAAAUUCACUCGCAAUCUGCACCCCUCUCGCGGCAGACGGGGGAUGGCGGCGCGCGACGAUUGGCUGCCGCCGCAGCACGUGACCUCCCUGCCUCCCCCCGCCGAGUAAAUGAGAUCUCCCGGCCGACGGCCGAGCAGCGCCCUCUAGAACGCGUUACGAUUUUGACGGCGCGGGGCGCUCCCGGUUGGACAGUUGCGCGGGGGCAGAGUGACCUCGCGGGUGCCCUCCGGGAACUACGUCCAUCUUCCAUAUGUAAUAUACAUUUAAUCGUGUAAACCCGGGCGUUGCCCGGGUCAUUCGUCUACAAAUUCGCAGUAGUUCACUAAUUCAAACCAAAAUAUCCAUACAUAGGUAAAAUAAUACUGGGAAGACUGACAUUUAUUAAUGCAGUGAUUAUAAUCAAUGAUUACAAUGAAGGGCUAUAUUGUCUAUAUAUAUAUAAAUCACUUUCAAAUAUUAACGUAACGUUCCAUUCUCAAUCCCGUUGGGCUUUAGAUCGGCUAAAACAUUUAAUUCUUUAUUAGUGAAUAUUAACUUUACUGUACUGAAUAGUUUAGUAUAAUGUUAAUUCAACAUAUUACAAUUUAGCCACUGCAACGCGUGGCCGGGUUCGCUGUGUAGUAUACUAUCAGGACGAUUUCUGGCGAAUUAUUUUAGAAUAAUAUUUAUAGCAAUAAAUAUAGCGCAAUUAAGACGUAGUGAUUAUAUUCUGUGUUUGUGCAUAUAUAAAUAUUUUACAGAAAAUGUCAGAACGUUCUAUUAGAAUAUCUCGAAAACAAAAAACAAUACAUAUAAUAACAUAUACAAUAUACAAUACAUAUAUAUUUUAUCUUUAUAAGUGAAUAUUGACUUUACUGUACUGAAUAGUUUAGUAUAAUGUUAAUUUAACAUAUUACAAUUUAGCCACAGCAAGGCGUGGCCGGGUCCGCUAGUAUCGUAUAUUUUUUAAAACUGUAUAAUAAUGUCACUUUUAGUAUAUGUCACAUAUCUCCCAAUUGGUUGGAGCCGAUGCCUUGAAAUAUCCUACCCAUCUUUUAAAAUGUGCACCGUUUAUAUUUGCUACCACCCCCAUAUUUUGUAUAUAUGCUAUAUCUUUAUUAAUAUAACCUGUACACCCUUUUUGUAUAUAAACUAAAAUUGGUGACGCCAAAAUAAAGAUCCAAAGAUAGAGCGGUCAGCUGGUGGCAGCAGGGACAGAGGAGUGGAAAAAGGCAACGCCCAGCCCAUGUGGGGUCCCGAGGGACAUUCUUAUAGAGACCCCCCUGUAAACAGGACAAGUUUUGGCAGGGGGUCGGCAGAUGUUCUAGGGGGUAUUUCUCGGCAGUCCGCUUCAGGCUAUCUCUCUCACACACUCGCUCUCUCCAUGUCUCGGUAAUAAGCAUCCAAGUUUGUGUCAUGGCCUCUACCUCUGUCCGGUGGGCUGUCCCCGAUCACCCUCGGUGUUAACAUCAAGCCCUGCUUCUUGCUGUCAGCGUGUGGGAAGAUCACCAACACUCGCCUCACGUACACGACUGCCAGUUCAUCCAUACAUCGACAUUUGCAACAAUAUUACAUAUAUAUCCAUCACUAUAAAUCCAAUUUGUGAAUUAUAUUAUAAAAAAUUAUAGGUAAAAUGCUCUAUAUUUUAUCAUAUGAAUGUAACAAAGCUUCAUAUAAAUGCAAAACCUAUAUUUUGUAUGUAUUUUAACAGAAAUGAAUGUGUAAAAACAGGUCCACCAUGUGCUAACACCACUAAGAUUGAAAAUGUAAUGAACGAUUGGGAAAUUUGCAAGACUCGAUUUAAUUAUGAUAUAAUAGUAAGUAUAUAACAGAGUUUAUACCUCAUUGUAGAUUAUAAUCUUAAUAUUAUAAAUAUGUUGUGUGUGACACAAUAUUAGAAUAAAUACACAAUAAUAUAUCAAAACCCAAUACCUUUAUUGAUAGAAUGUCCAAUCUUACACAGCUACAGAAGUAAUGAUUUGUAUCACAUCGAAGAAAGGUGAGAAUUUGUAUAUAACAAAGACUUCCAUGUAAAAUUCAAUAAUUUUUGUGAUUUCAAUUUAUAUUUUCUUUUCUGUUUCAAUUUUGUUUUUAGUCUCUCUUGUUUAUUGAAUUGAAUAUAAAGUGAUUUGUAUAUAAGCUGCUAAAAUGUAUUGAGGCAAAAGUAGCCCAAGCUGGGAUAUUGCGUCCAAUAUGUCAAAUAAAAUAAAAUAAAUACACAAUAAUAUCAGAUAUUUAAUAUUUUAUAUUUAUAGUUCAUUGUUCAAUAUAUAAUAGAUUAUUUACCUAUGCAACAUAAUUAUAGUGUAAAAGCUCCUAAGUGUAGAUACAAUUCAAAAUGCCAGUUUGACCAUCAUGUAAUACAAAAUAGGAUAUUGAAGUUUGAUUGAGAGUCCAUCGCGUCAUAGAAAUUAAAAAGAGUCUCCAUUUAUUUCUAAAUAUAUUUUCAAAAAUAUAAUUUUUCAAUAAUAAAUGAGAACAAUAUAAUUGUUACACCUUAAAAUUUCAAACUACAUUUUAAACAGACAUAGUAAUUAGACGAAAAACAAGGUGAAGGAAGACGAGUUUCUUUUAUUGAUGAUAAAAGAAACUCAUCUUCCUUCACCAUGUUUUUCAUCUAAUUUCAAUCCAGGAAGAAUUCUCUAUCUAUAGACAUAGUAAUAAUUAGCCUGCUUAUCUAUUUUUCUAAAAUCAGUCAUGUGGAGCUUCAAUUUUUAUUGUCACACUAUCCAUUUUACAUAUUCUAUUAAGAGAUAUGUUUGAUUAUAAAACUGAGUGGAAAUAACAGAAAAUUUUAUAAACAAAGAGAGAAAAUAUAAUUGCAUGAUGCAAAUACUAUUUGGGAUGUCGCACAAACAAUAAAACACUCGAAUAUACUCCUAACAAAAAAUAUUUUAUGUGUGAAACUCCAGUUCAAUUUUAAAAAUAACUUAAUGAAUGUCCAGCUUAAUUGAGAAAUUAAUUUAAAUUUUUGAAAAUAUUCAUGUUUAUAAAAUUUUUGCAGGCUCCCUUUCCAUCUUGUGUUGUAUUAUGUGGACCCAAAGGAUGUGUAGUGCGACCUGAUGGAGCCCGUUGCCGUUUAGUGGUAAGAAAGUUCUCAAAUAAAACAACGUUGUAAAUAAUUUUAAAAAUUAUUUGUUUUAGUCCCGUUGCUGCAAAGGAGUCUGUCUACUCCCUUUCCUCCCCUGUAACAAAUAAUUUUUAGUGAAACACACAAAUAAAUAUCAAUGUUUUGAAUUGCAACUCCGACAUGUUCAUUUUAAUAACUUUUGGUACCGGUAUAGAAACAUUCUUGUCAAUAAACCUCUUUGUUUGUUUCGAGUUUUUUGUCUGCUGACCAAUUUUGAAAGGGAAAUAUAUAUUUUGAGAACUUGAUGGAGCAAGAAGGUCCUUUUCUGAAAAUUAUAGCAAUAUAAAUAUAUAUUCCCAGAAAAAUAAAAUUUUCAGUCCUGUUGCUGUAAAGGAGUUAGUUCUCUACCUUAUUUUAUCUUUUGCAACUAAGAAUUAAAAUAUCUUUUAGUGUCGAGCACAAAUAAAUAUCAAUGGUGUAAAUAAAUAUUUAUAAUAUUUAUUAUACGAAUAUAUAUUAUUAUUUAAUUAAAAAGGCAUAUUUUGGAUCAAAAUAUUAUUUAUUUUACCGAUAUUUUAGUUGGCUGAGCGCCAACCUUUAUUAAGGUGUUAUUACAUAUUUAAUGUUUGUCAACAACGUUGUUAUUAAUAAUAUUUUGAUUCAAUAUAUGCCUUUUUAAUUAAAGAUUUAUUUAUGGAUUGCUCUAUUUUCAAAAAUAUCAUUAUUUGAAGAUAAAUAAUAAACCCCAAAUGGUUUCCGAGGGUGAGUUCCCUGUUUUAUAUUCAUUUCAAACUUUUUAGUUUCACAAAUCCUUCUUCAGGUGUUUAUUAUAUAUCACUAUGAAUCAUUUAACACACAGGAGUUUUUUUAAUCGCAUAUACGUGUUUUUGAUACCCGAAAUCUUGAGAUGAAUAUAAAAUAAAACAGAAACAAUUUAGGUAGCUAUUUUGCUUAUUAUUUAUAUAUAUUGUGGGGAAUUUUAUUUUUCCGAAAAUAUUUUGUUGAAGAUUGUCAAAAAUGGAAACAGUUCAAUUAAAAUCACAAACUCGAUGGAAGGCUUUAUAACAUUUACAUCCCAUGUAGCCAAUAAGGAAAUAACGAGAGUAAUAAGGUAUUAAUAACUCUAUAGUUUUUCAAACAUCCGCACAAUAUAGGAGCAGCAAGAAUCAUUAGAUAAAUUGAAUGGAUUUACUCUAAACAACAUAUAAUAUUUAGAUAAUAAAAAAUCAUAUAUUGGAUAUUGACUAAAAAGACUUAUUUGACAAUAUUUUGGUUGGCGAAUGUCAAACUCUGUCGAGGCAUUGCAUUUUGUAUUGGCAAAUAAAUCUUCGAAUACAAUACAAUAUGUCUUUUAUUAUCUACAAAAUGAAAAUUGAAUUGCGCAAUUUUCAUAACAUUUAUUAAGUAAAACCUAUAGGUAUAGCUAGCUAUCUUUUAUUUCAAAAAUGAUUCAUUUAACAUACAGCAAAACUUUGUAUGCUGAAAGAUAAUUUGAGCAUAGCAGACCAAAUAGUUAUAAUAUUCUAGUGUCAUAUGCGUAUAGUGAGUGGUAAUAAGCAAAUUGUAUAAUCAUUAAUUAUUGUAUCUUAAACUAUAGAUGCGAACAAAUUAACUGAGCAACGAUCAUUAUUAACAGCCGUACUUUUAAAUAUAAUAAUAUAAGGUCGUCCCAAAAGUUCGUAAACACUUGAAAAAAUUUGAAAUACCAAUAUUAUUUGCUGUUAUGUAUAAUUUCGUUGUAUUUUGUAUAAAGUAAUUGUAUUAUGUAUUAUUAUGAUUCGCCAAGUAAUAAGAAAACCAACAUUUUACGAAAAACACAAACUUUUAGGACAACCUUGUAGUAUUGCCUAAUUCACUAAUUUCUCUCCUCUUUAAAAUUAUAUCUAUUAUUAUAAUUUAAAAAGGGCAUUCCUGGAUUUGUAAAAAAAAAAAAAAACUUUUUUUUUCAGAAUAUUUCGAGGAAAUUCCUUCUCUCUAUCAAUUUAUUGUACAAUAAACUUAAAGGUAAUUUACAAAUUAUGGAUCGUCUCUUUUAACUCAAACUAUAUGUGCUCUAUCAGUACCUUUAUUACAAACAUUUAGAUUAAAGCAAAUAAUUCGAAUAUUGCUUGCUGAAAAUUUAUUUGAGAAUCUGAAAAGCCUUAAUCAACAAUCAUUCAUUAACAUUAACGAUUUAAUCUCUCGAAAUCUGGUUUGUUUUGAUAAGGAACAACAAAGUCCAAUGGCGAAAAAUGUCAUCAAAUCAUCAAUGGAAAUCUUUUAAUGGAGGUACUUAAUGCUAUUAUAAUUUAUAUCAGUCUUUUUAAUAAAUUGGAAAACAGGUUAAAAAUAUAUAUAGUUUUGAUUAAUUCAUAUUUACCUAAAUGUGCCUAUUGAUCCAAUAACGAUUUUACAUAUACACUCAUGGACAAAACUUGAGGAAGUUGUAUAUUUCAGCAUGUAUAUCAGAAUACAGACAAUAACUCCGAAAGAUACACUCAUGGACAAAUUUUAAGAAAGUUGUAUAUAUCAGCAGGUAUAUCAGGAUACAGACAAUAAUUCCGAAAUAUACACUCAUGAACAAAAUUAAGGAAGAUGUAUAUUUCAGUAUGUAUAUCAGGAUACAGACAAUAACUCUGAAAGAUACACUCAUGAACAAAAUUAAGGAAGAUGUAUAUUUCAGUAUGUAUAUCAGGAUACAGACAAUAACUACGAUAGAUACACUCAUGAACAAAAUUAUGGAAGUUGUAUAUUUCACAGCCUGUAUAUCAGGAUUCAGACAAUAACUCCGAAAGAUACACUCAUGGACAAAUUUUAAGAAAGUUGUAUAUAUCAGCAGGUAUAUCAGGAUACAGACAAUAACUCCGAAAUAUACACUCAUGAACAAAAUUAAGAAAGAUGUAUAUUUCAGCAUGUAUAUCAGGAUACAAACAAUAACUCUGAAAGAUAUUUGAUACACAGUGACUUUUAUUGGAGACAUACGAGAUGUGAAAAAAAUGUUUCUGUCUCCUUAAAAAAAAAUAAAGAAACAUCAACGACUUUCCA